UAGGGAAUCUUCGGCAAUGGGGGCAACCCUGACCGAGCAACGCCGCGUGAGUGAAGAAGGUUUUCGGAUCGUAAAGCUCUGUUGUAAGAGAAGAACGUGUGUGAGAGUGGAAAGUUCACACAGAGACGGUAACUUACCAGAAAGGGACGGCUAACUACGUGCCAGCAGCCGCGGUAAUACGUAGGUCCCGAGCGUUGUCCGGAUUUAUUGGGCGUAAAGCGAGCGCAGGCGGUUUAAUAAGUCUGAAGUUAAAGGCAGUGGCUUAACCAUUGUUCGCUUUGGAAACUGUUAAACUUGAGUGCAGAAGGGGAGAGUGGAAUUCCAUGUGUAGCGGUGAAAUGCGUAGAUAUUGGAGGAACACCGGUGGCGAAAGCGGCUCUCUGGUCUGUAACUGACGCUGAGGCUCGAAAGCGUGGGGAGCAAACAGG
rnacentral:rRNA from 1 species